rnacentral:rRNA from 1 species
UACAGAGGUCUCAAGCGUUGUUCGGAUUUAUUGGGCGUAAAGGGCGCGUAGGCGGCGGGGUAAGUCGGGUGUGAAAUCUCAGGGCUCAACCCUGAAACUGCACUUGAUACUGCUCUGCUUGAGGACUGGAGAGGAGACUGGAAUUCACGGUGUAGCAGUGAAAUGCGUAGAUAUCGUGAGGAAGACCAGUGGCGAAGGCGGGUCUCUGGACAGUUCCUGACGCUGAGGCGCGAAAGGCCAGGGGAGCAAAGCGGGAU